rnacentral:misc_RNA from 1 species
CGCGCUGCCAGCACUACCGCUGCGCCGCGCACUGCCACCGCCGCGGCCACUGCUACGCGGAGGCGCCCGCUAACGCCACGCACCUGCCCGGAGACGAGCUGCCGCCGCUCGUGUGCGCGUGCUACGCGGGCCGCAGCGGCGCGCGCUGCGAGCUGGGCGGCUGUCCGCGCGGGCUCACCGGCGAGAACUGCACCGAGUGCGUCGAGGGCCCGGCGGGUGACAUCUGUCGGAACAAGGUGGCGGCGCUCUGCGAAAACUACUGCUUAAACAAU